rnacentral:rRNA from 1 species
GACGAACGCUGGCGGCGUGCUUAACACAUGCAAGUCGAACGAUGAAGCCGCUUCGGUGGUGGAUUAGUGGCGAACGGGUGAGUAACACGUGGGCAAUCUGCCCUGCACUCUGGGACAAGCCCUGGAAACGGGGUCUAAUACCGGAUACGACCAUCGGCCGCAUGGCCUGGUGGUGGAAAGCUCUGGUGGUGCAGGAUGAGCCCGCGGCCUAUCAGCUUGUUGGUGGGGUGAUGGCCUACCAAGGCGACGACGGGUAGCCGGCCUGAGAGGGCGACCGGCCACACUGGGACUGAGACACGGCCCAGACUCCUACGGGAGGCAGCAGUGGGGAAUAUUGCACAAUGGGCGCAAGCCUGAUGCAGCGACGCCGCGUGGGGGAUGACGGCCUUCGGGUUGUAAACCUCUUUCAGCGGGGAAGAAGCUUUCGGGUGACGGUACCUGCAGAAGAAGCACCGGCUAACUACGUGCCAGCCGCCGCGGUAA